rnacentral:rRNA from 1 species
CGUAGGUGGCAAGCGUUGUCCGGAUUUAUUGGGUUUAAAGGGUGCGUAGGCGGUGAUUUAAGUCAGUGAUGAAAUACUUCAGCUUAACUGGAGAGGUGCCAUUGAUACUGGGUCACUUGAGUACUGAUGAGGUAGGCGGAAUGGACGGUGUAGCGGUGAAAUGCUUAGAUAUCGUCCAGAACACCGAUAGCGAAGGCAGCUUACUAAGGAGUAACUGACGCUGAGGCACGAAAGUGUGGGGAUCAAACAGGAUUAGAUACCCUGGUAGUCCACACUGUAAACGAUGAUCACUCGAUGUUGGCGAUACACAGCCAGCGUCUUAGCAAAAGCGAUAAGUGAUCCACCUGGGAGUACGCCGGCAACGGUG